AAUGCACAAUUCACAUUCUAUAACAACCAAUAAACAUUUACAAAAUUGCAUCAAGUUCGUUUGAAAGAGUCUUUUAUUAAGCAAAUACUAAGAAUAAGUAAAACCGCUAAAAAUUGAUUAUAUAAUGGUCAAGUAUGCUAUGACUUUUUCUUUGGUUGUCUCGAUUUAGCACACACAAAACUACUGGAGUCAAUGAAAUACUUGGUUGAGAACGGGGAUUUAAAAGAAAGAGGGAACCUACGAUCGGCGCUGGUCACACGGAUCAAAAGGGAUCCACCAUUAGCUCAAGCCAGAGAACAUCUAAAGCAACCUGUCAGGGAAUCUGACAUCAGCCUUUGCGAAAGAAAUUCUUCAAUUGUUGAUUCGGAAGGCUAAACACACACACACAAUCGGAUACAAACAUCAUGAGGAGAUGAAAUGUGUGUAGCGUAUUUCAUUCACGAAGAAGUACAUCAAUACUUUUUUUUAAAGAAUUGUUAAAUUUAAAAACAAAAACAGUAAAAAGUCGCUUUGUCUAAUAAUUACACCUAUUAGUUUAAUUGGAAGUCUAACAUGUUUAAACAAGCAUUACAUAAUUGACUGUAAAAUGAAAGGAACUAAGUAAAUGCGUGAUGAAUUUUAAGAGACCUGUGCAUGUGUGAAUUAUAAUAGUUAAAAAAGAUAUGCAAACAGUUUAAUUGUGUCAUGCUGAUGGAUUCCACGUAAUAAGGAGUUUUUUGCCAAUAACAAGCGACAAUGAGGUCAACGUUAGCUGCUUACUUCUUCUGCAAUGGGAAUAUAUACAUGUCAUUGAUUGCGUGCUGAUGGGGCUGUUUUAAAGUUGUUAGAAAUAUGCGCACUCAUAGAAAAACGGAUUAGAAAAUAGACAACAACAGAAGGGAAAG